rnacentral:tRNA from 1 species
GUUUAAAUAGCUUAAGAUUAGAGCAUAACAUUGAAGAUGUUAUGGUGGUAAGAACCUUUGAAUA